AUUGAACGCUGGCGGCAUGCCUUACACAUGCAAGUCGAACGGCAGCACGGGAGCAAUCCCGGUGGCGAGUGGCGAACGGGUGAGUAAAGUAUCGGAACGUGCCCAGUCGUGGGGGAUAACGUAGCGAAAGUUACGCUAAUACCGCAUACGAUCUAUGGAUGAAAGCGGGGGAUCGCAAGACCUCGCGCGAUUGGAGCGGCCGAUAUACGAUUAGGUAGUUGGUGGGGUAAAGGCUCACCAAGCCGACGAUCUGUAGCUGGUCUGAGAGGACGACCAGCCACACUGGGACUGAGACACGGCCCAGACUCCUACGGGAGGCAGCAGUGGGGAAUUUUGGACAAUGGGCGAAAGCCUGAUCCAGCCAUGCCGCGUGCAGGAUGAAGGCCUUCGGGUUGUAAACCGCCUUUGUACGGAACGAAAAGGUUUGGCCUAAUAAGCUGAGCUCAUGACGGUACCGUAAGAAUAAGCACCGGCUAACUACGUGCCAGCCGCCGCGGUAA
rnacentral:rRNA from 1 species